rnacentral:rRNA from 1 species
GGAUUAGAUACCCUGGUAGUCUUAGCUGUAAACGAUGCACACUAUGUUUUGCAAUUUGCAGAGCAAUAGCUAACGCGUUAAGUGUGCCGCCUGGGGAGUACAUUCGCAAGGAUGAAACUCAAAGGAAUUGACGGGGACCCGCACAAGCGGUGGAGCAUGUGGUUUAAUUCGAUGCAACGCGAAGAACCUUACCAAGAAUUGACAUGCUGCGAACGUUUACGAAAGUAAAAAGUCUAUUAACUUAGUUAAUAGCGCAGACACAGGUGGUGCAUGGUUGUCGUCAGCUCGUGCCG